CCUACGGGAGGCUGCAGUGGGGAAUAUUGCACAAUGGGCGCAAGCCUGAUGCAGCCAUGCCGCGUGUGUGAAGAAGGCCUUCGGGUUGUAAAGCACUUUCAGCGGGGAGGAAGGCGGUGAGGUUAAUAACCUCAUCGAUUGACGUUACCCGCAGAAGAAGCUCCGGCUAACUCCGUGCCAGCAGCCGCGGUAAUACGGAGGGUGCAAGCGUUAAUCGGAAUUACAGGGCGUAAAGCGCACGCAGGCGGUCUGUCAAGUCGGAUGUGAAAUCCCCGGGCUCAACCUGGGAACUGCAUUCGAAACUGGCAGGCUAGAGUCUUGUAGAGGGGGGUAGAAUUCCAGGUGUAGCGGUGAAAUGCGUAGAGAUCUGGAGGAAUACCGGUGGCGAAGGCGGCCCCCUGGACAAAGACUGACGCUCAGGUGCGAAAGCGUGGGGAGCAAACAGGAUUAGAUACCCGAGUAGUC
rnacentral:rRNA from 1 species